rnacentral:rRNA from 1 species
UUGAACGCUGGCGGCAUGCUUUACACAUGCAAGUCGAACGGUAACAGGUUAAGCUGACGAGUGGCGAACGGGUGAGUAAUGCAUCGGAACGUGCCCAGUCGUGGGGGAUAACGCAGCGAAAGCUGUGCUAAUACCGCAUAUUCUGUGCGCAGGAAAGCAGGGGAUCGCAAGACCUUGCGCUAUACGAGCGGCCGAUGUCAGAUUAGCUAGUUGGUAGGGUAAAGGCCUACCAAGGCGACGAUCUGUAGCGGGUCUGAGAGGAUGAUCCGCCACACUGGGACUGAGACACGGCCCAGACUCCUACGGGAGGCAGCAGUGGGGAAUUUUGGACAAUGGGCGAAAGCCUGAUCCAGCCAUGCCGCGUGAGUGAAGAAGGCCUUCGGGUUGUAAAGCUCUUUCGGCUGGGAAGAAAUCGCACAGGCUAAUACUCUGUGUGGAUGACGGUACCAGCACAAGAAGCACCGGCUAACUACGUG